CGAAAAAGGGUAGAUGAGCUUAUGAAAAACAUUAUAUAUUUACAUUAGGUCAGUUUUUAGAAUAGUUCUUAUUAUUAUCUGUAUUAAAGUGCAAGACUAAUAGGACUUUUAAUAAUUGAGAAGUGUAUGUAGUUCUUAAAAUAGAAUGAGAAGGCAGAGUACUCCACAGACAGCAUCAAACUGAAGCUACAGAAACUGCAAAUGAUUUUAUUUAUAUCUAGAAAUUACUUAUUGCAAACUGUAAUUAUACUAGUGCCUGUACUGGAUUUGUCAUGGAAAACUAUUCAAAAAAACUAUUGAAAAAAAAACUAUUCAAAACUAUUGAACUGUCCUGGAUAUUUCAAGGCGCUAGGAACUUUGAACUGAGGUCAUCACGCGCAUUCAUCUAGUCUCUUUAUACAGUUAAACGUUAGUGGAAGACAAAGAGGACGAAUUGACCCCCUGGUAACCACUCAAUGGAAAAUAAAUCAUUGGUUUAACCCUAGAAUGGAAAACUGGGGUGGUUUGGAGCCCCACGCGAAGUUUAAGGUGCAAUUACGACUUAACCACUAAUGUUUUUGGUUCAGGAUCCUAACCAUAAUUCAUUUUAUACUUCUGACAAUCGAUUUUGUCGAGUUAGAGCGAUAGAUAUGUUUCUGGAAGUUAUUGGCGCGUCAAUUUUCCUUAAUUUUCGUCGUUUAAUUUUUUAAAAAAAUUUUAUAUUUUCCAGUGAUGCAAAAGUCAAUUUUUUAUAUGAAAAAAUAUUGAAUAUUUCGAAAGUAGCCAUAUUGUUGAGAA